rnacentral:rRNA from 1 species
UACGAAGGGGGCUAGCGUUGUUCGGAAUUACUGGGCGUAAAGCGCGCGUAGGCGGACGCUUAAGUCAGGGGUGAAAUCCCGGGGCUCAACCCCGGAACCGCCUUUGAUACUGGGCGUCUGGAGUCCGGAAGAGGUGGGUGGAAUUCCUAGUGUAGAGGUGAAAUUCGUAGAUAUUAGGAAGAACACCGGUGGCGAAGGCGGCCCACUGGUCCGGUACUGACGCUGAGGUGCGAAAGCGUGGGGAGCAAACAGG